GAGACGCUGGCGGCGUGCCUAACACAUGCAAGUCGAGCGGGGUUGAGGCGAGAGGUAACUCGAGCUUCUACCUAGCGGCGGACGGGUGAGUAACGCGUGGGCAACCUGCCUCAAGGUUUGGGAUAACAGCCCGAAAGGGCUGCUAAUACCGGAUAUGCCUAUGGCCUCGCAUGGGGCUAUGAGCAAAGGGGAAACCCGCCUUGAGAUGGGCCCGCGUCCCAUCAGCUAGUUGGUGAGGUAACAGCUCACCAAGGCGACGACGGGUAGCCGGCCUGAGAGGGUGACCGGCCACACUGGGACUGAGACACGGCCCAGACUCCUACGGGGGGCAGCAGUGGGGGAUCUUGCACAAUGGGCGAAAGCCUGAUGCAGCGACGCCGCGUGAGCGAAGAAGGCCUUCGGGUUGUAAAGCUCUGUCUGGAGGGACGAAGAAAGUGACGGUACCUCCGGAGGAAGCCACGGCUAACUACGUG
rnacentral:rRNA from 1 species